rnacentral:rRNA from 1 species
AUGGAGACCAGAGGCCUCAAGAAAGCUCGUACGCACUUGGUCGUCAUGGAUCCGGCAAUCGAAGCCUUCCUUGACCGCCUCGACAACGCCCUCAAGGCCCAGAACAAGGCGAUCAUGGAGAUCCAGGUUUCCACCGCCAUGAUCGACGAUCUGGUCAACUGGCGUCCCGAUCUGGAGAAGCGAGUUGCUGAUCUCGGUGACGCGGUGGCGGCGCUCCAGAUGGCGCAGCCACCAUCAACCAGGACGAGCGACGAGUCCCAAGGGGUGAAUCCGACCCACAUACAUAGUGUCCAUCUAUAA